UUCUUCAACCCAACAAAGUACAAAUUACAAAAUACUAUUUUGUAUUUGAAAUAAAUAUUUUAGACACAACAUGUAUUAUUAACACUGCCCAAACCUGCACGUAGUACCAAUCCAGACCCUCCAGACUGCAGUGUGAAGAUUUCCCUUAUCUCAUGAAUUCAGGCCUGACACCAUGAGAUAAAGGAACGCCUCAGCCAUAACUGAUAAGCCAUAAUUGGCUUGCCUUUUCAGCAGCCUCAGACAAAAAAUACGCUCUAACAUUAGUUUAUUUACCCAACAAAACCCGGACACAGUAUAGCCUGAAAACCUUACUGUCUGGGUCAACAACAUGGUGGACCAGGUGCAUACUGCAUAUGUAGCGGGUUGAAAUAGCGCACCUGUGCCUUUAAGGCUGUUCAUUAGUAAAUCAGUGGAUACAGCUGGUUGGUUUCUUUAUAAUUUGACUUGCACCAUGGGUCAGGUAUGCAGUAGAGGAGUAGGGGGUGCUGCAGGGGAGGCUGGUCACCUGGUGUUGGUGGGAGUCUUUAGUUUGUAGUGCAUGUGUGGCUUCACUGUGUGUGUUUCCAGUACUGUUCACCUGUGUGGGUUGCGGUGGUUGCGGUCUCCUAUAUCCACGUGUGAUCCUGACAUCCCUCUCUUCAGGAUAGCCUGCCUCCCUAUGGUAAACCUGGUUCCCGUCUAAUUAAUUGUCCUGUCUUGUUUUGUUACCUUCCCACUCUAUGGGGCACAAAAUUGUUGUACAUUUUUUUUAAAUAAUGAAUUAAUAUGUUCUUAGUCUUGUUACAGCUCUUUCCUUCCAGUCUAGGUUUCUCUUGAUAGUGUCCCAGUCUCUACUUCCAUUUGCCUCCAUGGACGAAUACAACUUACCUGAUGUGUUUAA